ACAUACCACUUGUUGCCUCGGCGGAUCAGCCCGCUCCCGGUAAAACGGGACGGCCCGCCAGAGGACCCCUAAACUCUGUUUCUAUAUGUAACUUCUGAGUAAAACUAUAAAUAAAUCAAAACUUUCAACAACGGAUCUCUUGGUUCUGGCAUCGAUGAAGAACGCAGCAAAAUGCGAUAAGUAAUGUGAAUUGCAGAAUUCAGUGAAUCAUCGAAUCUUUGAACGCACAUUGCGCCCGCCAGUAUUCUGGCGGGCAUGCCUGUUCGAGCGUCAUUUCAACCCUCAAGCACAGCUUGGUGUUGGGACUCGCGUUAAUUCGCGUUCCCCAAAUUGAUUGGCGGUCACGUCGAGCUUCCAUAGCGUAGUAGUAAAACCCUCGUUACUGGUAAUCGUCGCGGCCACGCCGUUAAACCCCAACUUCUGAAUGUUGACCUCGGAUCAGGUAGGAAUACCCGCUGAACUUAAGCAUAUCAAUAAGCGG
rnacentral:rRNA from 1 species